ACAAAAUAUCCAGUCCUUGUCGGACUGAUCGUGGCAGCCUCUGAUACUAAAGUAUAGUAUCAGAGGCUGCCACGAUCAGUCCGGCAAGGACUGGAUAUU
rnacentral:miRNA from 1 species